rnacentral:rRNA from 1 species
AGCGAACGUUAGCGGCGCGCCUAACACAUGCAAGUCGCACGAGAAAGGGAGCAAUCCCCGGUACAGUGGCGCACGGGUGAGUAACACGUAGAUGACCUUCCCUGGAGUGGUGGAUAACCUGCCGAAAGGCGGGCUAAUACAGCAUGGGACCACAUGGUUUUGACCGAGUGGUGAAAGCGGGCCUCUGUUCACAAGCUCGCGCUCUGGGAUGGGUCUGCGUCCCAUCAGCUAGUUGGUGAGGUAAUGGCUCACCAAGGCAUCGACGGGUAGCUGGUCUGAGAGGAUGACCAGCCACACUGGAACUGAGACACGGUCCAGACUCCUACGGGAGGCAGCAGUGGGGAAUCUUGCGCAAUGGGCGAAAGCCUGACGCAGCGACGCCGCGUGGGUGAUGAAGGCCU